rnacentral:rRNA from 1 species
UACGUAGGGGGCAAGCGUUGUCCGGAAUCAUUGGGCGUAAAGCGCGUGUAGGCGGCUAGAUAAGUCUGCUCUGAAAGCCCGGGGCCUCAAGCCCCGGGAGGCGGGUGGAUACUGUCUAGCUCGAGUCCGGAAGAGGAGUGUGGAAUUCCUGGUAGUAGCGGUGAAAUGCGCAGAUAUCAGGAGGAACACCAAUGGCGAAGGCAGCACUCUGGGACGUGACUGACGCUGAGACGCGAAAGCGUGGGGAGCAAACAGG